rnacentral:rRNA from 1 species
AAUAGAUACCCGGGUAGUCCACGCCGUAAACGAUGAGUGCUAAGUGUUAGAGGGUUUCCGCCCUUUAGUGCUGCAGCAAACGCAUUAAGCACUCCGCCUGGGGAGUACGGCCGCAAGGCUGAAACUCAAAGGAAUUGACGGGGGGCCCGCACAAGCGGUGGAGCAUGUGGUUUAAUUCGAAGCAACGCGAAGAACCUUACCAGGUCUUGACAUCCUCUGACAAUCCUAGAGAUAAGACUUUCCCCUUCGGGGGACAGAGUGACAGGUGGUGCAUGGUUGUCGUCAGCUCGUGUCGUGAGAUGUUGGGUUAAGUCCCGCAACGAGCGCAACCCUUGAUCUUAGUUGCCAGCAUUCAGUUGGGCACUCUAAGGUGACUGCCGGUGACAAACCGGAGGAAGGUGGGGAUGACGUCAAAUCAUCAUGCCCCUUAUGACCUGGGCUACACACGUGCUACAAUGGAUGGUACAAAGGGCUGCAAGACCGCGAGGUUAGCCAACUCCCAUAAAACCAUUCUCAGUUCGGAUUGCAGG